rnacentral:sRNA from 1 species
UUAGCAGAUUUGAGUUUGCUUGAGAACCUGCUCACAGCUGUAUAUCAGAAAGAACAUAUGCUUUUUUUUUUUUACAACCCUCGCUCUGCUCAUAAAAAGACUUUUCUUUAUUCCACCAUUCCGCUUAGUCCUGGACAGAGAGAGACAUGCUAAACAUGUUGCAGAACAAGACCGCAACAAGGCAUAGCUAUUUCCAUUGUAACAUUACAUCGGGCUAGUGGCCCUGGUCGGUCAAAGGCUUGAGUUGCGCUUGGAAGUAGUAAAUAGUAGUCGUAGUAGUAGUCGUUUAGUUAUUUUCCCGUGGUCAACGACAGGGCGAUACAUGAAGAAUGCGGUCAGGCAAGAGAGAAAGAACGC